UCGAAGGUUUUGAGUGAGGAACAGAAGGGUUCAAAUUAAGAGACCACUCCAAAUUGAACGCUUCUGGUAUAUGUAUACACUUUGGUGUAUAAAUCUGUUAAAUCUGUUGAAAGUUUAAUGUAUUUUGUUCAUAUUGUUUUGAAUGGCAUUUUCCCCCUGUAAUUUCUGCCAUAAUUUAUUCUUGUUUAGAAAAAUAAGUAUCAUAACAACAUGGGCACUGUCUAAUAAUCUUUACAUUUUUGUUGAGAUGUUGCGUCUAUGGGUGUAAUGAAUGCGGUGUUGCGGGAGCAAGGAACCAGGUUGCAUGCAGAGGUAGUAGGUGUAGUUCUUUUAUUUUAAACAAACACCGAGCACAAAAGCACAAUGAAAGAAAAGGGCUGACUAAAGCAUCAAAACGACGGUACACAAAGCCCUAAAGAAACUUACGUUCAACAGCAACAAACACGAAGACAUCCACUGACGACAACAAUGAUCCUCAAUGUGGGGAGCUGAGGGGAAACAUUGAAACACAUACUGACGAGAUAAAUGGGACCUGGUGUGAAUGAUGAAGUACAUGACACGAAACAAGUCCGGGAUGCGUUUGUAUUUGACGGGAACUGAGGGUGCACAGUGUAGUGUUCACAUGUAACUCCUGUUCCAUGUUUUCUGUUUAACAUGACUGUGAUGCAAGCACGUUAUUGGGUACGUCAUAAAGAGGUGAUUGUGGUUCAAGUAAGAAAACAGUAAACCAAAAGUUCGAGAACAACUCUUCCUGUGUAUGUGAGUUUUCCUUUAUUAAAACAAGGCAAGACACUACAUUCUGGCGACGAAGAUGGGAUGAUGUGAGUUUAACACAAAAAAAAUAAAUACAAAAAAAUAAAAUACAAAACAGCUGUUUGAAUCGCACGGAUUGCAAGAUGACGACUCUCCCUCAUUUUCCUAUGUUCGAUUUUCACUCCGAACCCAGCUCAUUCGGCUCGAGAUGGAAAAAAUGGCAGAGUCGAUUCGAUAACUAUCUACAAGCAUUCGAUGUUAAGGAGGACAAGCAGAAACGAGCCCUCUUAUUACAUCACGCGGGACCUGAUGUGUUCGACAUUUUUGAUACGCUGCCAGAAACGGGAGAGAAAGCUAGACGCAUAUUUUUGUCCAAAAGCCAAUCCUGAAUAUGAAACAUACUUAUUCAGACAAACAAGACAGCGCGAAGACGAAACAUUGGAUGCUUAUCACACUAGAUUGAGGCAGAUAGCAGCAAAAUGCGAGUUCACAAACGUGGACAAAGAAAUCAAAUCACAAAUAAUCUUAAGCUGCAGUUCGUCGCGUCUCCGCAAGAUGGCACUCCGCGACGCAACAAUGACACUUCAACAAUUAUUAGACGCGGGAAGAGCUCAAGAAACAGCAGAUAAACAAGCAGAUGGCAUAGAAGAGACACAUGCAAAAUCAUCCAACUCAUUCAAAGCACAUGCAAUAAAUAAGACAAGUCUAAACAGAGACAAACAGAAACAUUUUAAAACAAAGAAUACUGAAAGCUUGACAUGCAACAAUUGUGGAGGAACUUUUCCACACAGUGGAGGUCAGAAAAACUGUCCUGCAAAAGGAAAGACCUGUAAAGGCUGCAGAAAGCUGAAUCAUUUUCAAAAAUGCUGCAGGUCAACACACUAUUCAAAUAAUUUCUCACAUCCAGCAAAGCCCAAGUUUCAAAAGUUUAACCAAAAAGUGAAUACCGUGCAUACAGAUAAUACAGCAUCAAAAACACACCCUGAAACGUCAACGAGUUCAGAUGAAGAAUAUUUAUGUCAUACACACAGUUCAACAUUCGCAACAACAACCCCAAUCACAAGUGGAGAUUGCAGGGGUGCCAGGGAAGGUUGUUAUUGAUUCUGGUGCAAGCGUGAAUAUUGUUGAUGACACUGCAUAUUACAAAAUAAAACAACAGGUUGCAUUAAAACCAUCAGAUGCAAAGAUUUUCGCAUAUGGCUCUUCCACUCCACUUCCACUGAAAGGAAAAUUUCAAGCAAAAGUCUGUUUUAACAACACGGACACAGCAACCACGUUCUAUGUGAUUGAUGGUCACUCAGGUUGUCUGCUGAGCUACAACACUGCAACAGAACUUGGAAUCCUUCAAAUAGUCAGUGCAGUGUCAAACAAACCAGAUGAAGCUGAAGCUCCCACUGUAAGUCAAUUACUCGAAGAGUAUAAAGACCUUUUUAAAGGAAUCGGAAAGCUGAAAGAUUUUCAAGUGAAGUUACACAUUGACCAGUCUGUAAAGCCGACAAGUGCAACCACACCGACGAAUUCCAUUUCACAUCAGAAAAAAAGUGGAGCAAGAACUCGAAAAACUCGAAGAACAAGGUAUCAUUGAAAAAGUCAGCGGCCCGACACCGUGGGUAUCACCUAUAGUUGUUGCACCAAAACCCAAAAAUCCUGACAGUGUGCGUAUAUGCGUGGAUAUGAGAAUGCCCAAUUGCGCCAUUCAAAGAGAACGUCAAACUCGUCCAGCAUGCUACAAUGGCAUAUUACGAUCAAAAGAAGAAGUCCACACUACUUGUUGAUGCAAGUCCAGUUGGUCUUGGUGCCAUACUAAGUCAGCCAGAUGCAGACAGUUCCAGUAACAAAGUAAUUGCGUAUGCCAGUAGAGCCCUCAAAGCCGUAGAACAACGCUACUCGCAAACUGAGAGUAAAGCGCUAGCAAUAAUCUGGGCAUGUGAACAUUUCCAUUUAUAUCUCUAUGGUUCACACUUCAUAGUAAUUACGGAUCACAAACCACUAGAGCUCAUUUUCAACAACCCUCGAGCAUCCUCACCAGCCAGACUUGAACGCUGGAGACUGAGACUACAACAAUACACGUUCACAGUCCAAUACAAACCUGGGAAAGACAAUCCUGCCGACUACAUGUCAAGGCAUCCUGUUGAUGGACAACACACAGACAACUGUUCAGGAAAUGCAGAACAACACAUCAACUUCAUAAUUGACAACACAGUCCCAAAAGCGAUGACUUUAGAUGAAGUACGACAUGAAACGAUGAAAGACCCUGUCCUACAAACAGUGAUAAAAGAGUUGAAAGGUAAAGCCUGGACACAUUUGAAGCAGACCAUGCCAGACGCAUGCCACGCAAAACUGAAGGCAUUUCACAAGCUGAGACAUGAGCUCACAGUUAACGCGUCACAAGACAUUGUCCUCAGAGGGAAUAGACUUAUUUUACCUACCUCUUUGUAUCAAAAAGCCAUCCAACUUGCACAUGUAGGACAUAUGGGCAUUGUGAAGACAAAACAACUGAUCAGAGAAAAGGUAUGGUUCCCUGGUAUCGAUGCAGAAGUGGAAAAAGCUGUGCAAGGUUGCAUUCCAUGUCAAGCAGCCACACUCCAGCAUCACUCAGAACCUCUCAACAUGUCUGAUCUGCCAAUAGAACCAUGGUCGGAAGUUUCUGUGGAUUUUACUGGUCCGUUUCCUUCUGGUGACUAUUUGCUGGUAGUCGUUGAUGAUCACUCCAGGUAUCCAGAAGUGCAGAUAGUCAAGUCUACAGCAGCCACUGCUGUGAUUCACAAACUGGACAAGAUAUUCUCAACCUUUGGCAUACCCAAAAUAGUAAAAACUGAUAAUGGCCCACCAUUCAAUAGUCACUGUUUUGCAGAUUUCAGUUCACAUCUUGGUUUCAAACACAGAAAGAUAACCCCGUACUGGCCUAAAGCAAAUGGAGAAGUAGAACGUUUCAUGAGAACACUUAAAAAGACUGUCAUGACCAGCAAUGCAGAGAGUAAACCAUGGAAGCAGUGCCUGUAUAGUUUCCUGAGAAAUUACAGAGCAACACCACAUGGGACCACCCAAAAAUCACCAGCAGAACUACUGUUCGGAAGAAAGAUCAACACCACAUUACCUUCAAAUCCACAGGACACACAAAAAACUGACCUCAGCAACACGGAUCAUGUUGCUAAACAACGGAUGAAAAGGUAUGCAGAUCUUCGGAACAGAGCGAAAGAAUCAAGUAUCAAGACAGGUGAUGUUGUACUCUGCCGACAACUUUCGACAGGAAUGUUGAGUACUCCAUAUGAGAUAAAGCCCUACAAGGUAAUCAAGGUCAAAGGGUCAAUGGUGACAGCAAGUCGUUCAGGAAGAUGCAUUACACGAAAUUCCUCAUUUUUCAAAAGACUCCCAUCUCAUCUCUCAGUUGAGCAGAACAAACUCACUGAUGACGAAGAUGACGUCAGAGGACAGGCUCCACAUUCAGACGUGUUUCAGGACAAUAUACCACAAAGCACACGGAACACUACCGCUGGUCCAAAACACUAUGAUUUCUCACAUAACCCUCGAUAUGACCUGAGACCAAAUCGCAGGGCAACAAGAUGUUUGAUUGAGGAAAUGUAAAAUUUUCAACGUUUCAACCAAUGGUCCACAAGUAAUCAUUUAUUUUGAUACAUGUUCCUGUUUUCAGGUUUUGACAUGUUUUCAACAGUAGCAACAUGAGGUAACCUUGAGGACUUUAAUCUAAGUAUGUUUUUGUUUUCGUUUGAUAAUACAUAUAGCAUACUUUAAAAUCGUAUGCUCUAGGUACAUCUUCUUUUUGAAUAAGGGAGGGAUGUAGUGUUCACAUGUAACUCCUGUUCCAUGUUUUCUGUUUAACAUGACUGUGAUGCAAGCACGUUAUUGGGUACGUCAUAAAGAGGUGAUUGUGGUUCAAGUAAGAAAACAGUAAACCAAAAGUUGGAGAACAACUCUUCCUGUGUAUGAGAGGUCUCAGUCUGGACAUGUUUGGCUGUCUCCUUGACAGUUAAUGUCAUUGUUCUCCUCUGUUUG